UAUGGGAAGGGAAGGCGAUAUUCUACCAUCCCAAAAAUAGCUGGGUUAUUACUACAGGAAAAAGAUAAGACGAAGGCAGAUUAGUCACAUUUCCUUAUUUGUUAUUGUACCAAAAUUAUCCUGUGAAUUGCAAAGUCAUUUUGCAUUGCUAUUGAGACUUCUUAAAUGCAUCACAUUACUGAGACUGGAGUAGAAGAAAAAAAUCACUUGAAUCAAAGCACAAGUCUUCACAACAUGAGAUAACAUGUCUGCUCGGCUCCUCUCUGUUGCUGAUGUCUGAAGCUUUGAGACUAUGAAAGUUAGUCAUACUAAUCAAGUUUGUUCCCAGUGUCCAAGAUCUUCUGACAUCGUGUCUCUUGGGACAUUCAAUCAAGCCAGUCACCACACUGUUAGGAAACCCACACAGAAGCAGCUUGCAGAGAGGUCCACAUGAAGAGAUUCAAAGCUCAGGGCAUCAGCUGCAUGACUGAACUGUCAGCCAGUAGCCAGGCAUAUGAAGGAGUCACCUCGGAAGUGAUCCUGUAGUCCCCAGUUGAGCUGGUGCCACCUGGAGCAGAGUCUAAUGGAUGACCACAUUCCACUGUGGAGGAAAUGUGGAUGAGAUGAGCUAUUGCAAUGGACCAUCCAGCAUUUCAAAUGCAGAAGCCUCCCAAAUCAGAUUAUUCAAGCGUUGGAACAGCUCUUCAAUUAAGAGGAGACGAAGCUCCUUGAAAGCUGUGCCUUUGUCUGUUUCACUCCAUCUACCAUAUUGAAGAGACCAUCCCUUCAAGGACAAAUUGUGUCACUUGUGUAGAAUUAGAAAAUAGAAUUGGGAUGAGGAGAGAUUUUCUCUGGCAACAUCAAUGCGCAGUAUGUUUGCAAUAGAAAGUCAACUGUCUUGUAUUUUGGUUGAUACAGCUGAGGUCUCUGAGCUAUGAGACAUAGAAGAAAAGAAAUAAAAAUAUAUCCUUUACUUUUCUUCAUGUGGAUGCUGCUGGUUUGUCAUAAGAGAAGCAUUGGA